CCUACGGGAGGCAGCAGUGGGGAAUAUUGCGCAAUGGGCGGAAGAGUGACGCAGCGACGCCGCGUGAAGGAAGAAGGCCUUCGGGAUGUAAAGCUCUUUCGACAGGGAAGAAAAUGCCUAUAAGUAACUGUGUAUGUAUUGACGGUAACUGUAUAAGCAGCCCCGGCUAACUCCGUGCCAGCAGCCGCGGUAAUACGGAGGGGGCGAGCGUUGUUCGGAUUGACUGGGCGUAAAGGGCACGUAGGCGGUGUUGUAAGUCAUUAGUCAAAGGCUAGAGCUCAACAUUAGUAAGGCUAGUGAUACUGUUAUACUAGAGUAUCGGAGAGGUUUGCGGAAUUCCUGGUGUAGCGGUGAAAUGCGUAGAUAUCAGGAGGAAUACCGUUGGCGAAGGCGGCUUUCUGGCUUGAAACUGACGCUGAGGUGCGAAAGCGUGGGUAGCAAACAGGAUUAGAUACCCCGGUAGUC
rnacentral:rRNA from 1 species